UGGCGAGAUGGCGUGGGGGGAUCGGAGUUAGAGGCAGGGAGGAGGGGGGGAAGUUUCUCGGGGGAGGCAAAAAAAAGUUUUCUCUCCUCUGCAAAAGGCGGGCAGGGCGCCCUAAGUCCAAGGACAAUCCAUGGAAGUGUUCGCUUCUUCACAAGUUGUGCAAACGAUUUGUUAGUUCAUGAGCCUAAUUAGUGCGGGGAUCACAUAAACAGCUUCCUCCGAAGCCUGGUAAAUGGCUUGAUGAUUGGUCGCUAUUACUCGCCCUGAGGUGGAAGGGGGGAGACUCUUUAAAGUGCGUCAGAGAGAGGCGAGCGCCUGGGAACCCGGAGGCCUGGAUCCCGGCCGAGUGUGGAACGGAGUCGGCGCCGCUGCCUCGGCCGAGCCUCCUGCGCCCGCCAGGCCCCCGGCCUCGCCGCGCCUUCUCCCCGCGCUCCAAGCUCACUCGCUCCCGCGGCGCCCGCUGUGGCUUCUCCUCCUCCUCUUUCGCCUCCUCCUCUUCCUUCGGCCUCCUCUCCUCCUUCUCCUCCUCCUCCUCCUCCUCUUCCUCCUUCUUCUCCUCCUCCUCUUCUUCCUCCUCCUCUUUCCCCACCUCCUCCCCUUCUGCCACCGCCUCCUCCUUCACCACCACCACUCCCUCCGGGGCAACCGGGUCCCUGCAGAGUCCCCGGCCCGCGCCGCCUCUGCUGCGGCCCCCUGGAUCCCGAACUGGUGGGACAGACGGACAGACGGACACGCAGAUCCCUCGCGCCCAGCUCUCGGUAGCUGCUGACCCCCGUGGCCCCGCGUCCGGGAAGCUGGGCUCGCCCCCGGAGCACCGCGAGGGUAAGCAGGCAGGGAUGGAUUCCGGGCGAGGGCUAACGGAGCUGUUCGGUUACAUCAGUCCCCACCUCCAGCGGAACUCCAGGCGGUUUCCCAGCGGUUGCAGUCUCCAGGCCUGGCUGCAUGGCGAGGCGAGGCGUCGGAACACGCACAGGAUGCCAAGCCUUCCAGAUGAAGAAUGGAUGACAGUGCCAACCAUGUGGACGUGGAGCUCCCCCAGAUGGGCUUUGGCACAUCUGGCCCAUCUGUAGUAUUUUCUCCAUCCAGGUGAUCCGUCUUGCCUCUGCCCAGCGUGGUGGAAAAUUGAUUCUCACUGUGGAAGCACGAGAGUUCCAUAUUUCUGCCCCUUGCUCUGAGCCCCGCUGAUUCUGAUUUAAGGGGCAGCUGCUCAGGUGUGCUGGGACCAAGAUAGGGUUUAUUUCAUUGCUCAUUUGCUGCCGGCGUCUUGCAUGAGAGACGGUCCAUUUCUAUCCCCGACGGCACCUGUGUCGGUAGGUGGUGCUAAGCAUCUACGACAAGGUUCUAGCUUGUCCGGUCCUCUCAGAAGUCCAUUGAACUACUCGGUCUAGUCCCACCUUCCAGAUGUGAAAAGUGAGACUCUGAAAUAAAGGGAUUCACCCCAAGGCCA
rnacentral:lncRNA from 1 species